GUCGUGACGUAUAUAAGCAGCCGACAGCCGUUGGGUCGGUCAUUUCUCCAGGCGGACGGCAAGAGAAGCAUCCAGAUUAUUUGAGGACCAGAACCAGCAGAACUCAGACCAGGGUUGGCCGUGACAGAAAAUGGCCUUCACAGCCACCGUAGAGGCGCUGCAGGGGUGGACUACAGUGGAGGAGACUGAUGGAUUAAGACAAACAUGACUCAGGUAUGGAAGGAUGAACUGAGAUCAGGUCGCAGCGGCCGCAGUGGAAACCUCCAGGCUGGUUGUCUCCCUGUGGCGUAAUGAAGCUGGAGGAUUGCUCUGAUGGCAGCAGGUCGUCCUACUGGUAGACUGGAGGAUGAGCCAAGAGCAGGUCACAGCAGCUGAUGUGGAAACCUCCAGGUGGAGGAGCCUCUACAGGAAGAGCGUUCAGUGCUGGAGACCUCCAGGUGGAGGCUGCAGCUGGUGGACCACCAGGUGAUCAAACCACAGGAAGCCGGUGGACUCUAACUGGAACUCCCUGGGAUUGUUUAGCUUCUUGUGAACAUGUACUGACUUUGUCUGGAAAUAAAGUGUCUGUAAAUGAAAA